rnacentral:snRNA from 1 species
AUCGCCAGUUCGAAUGACGUUUAG